GCGGGCGUAAUUCAGCGGUAGAAUGUCAGCUUCCCAAGCUGAACGUCGCCGGUUCGAUCCCGGUCGCCCGCUCCA
rnacentral:tRNA from 1 species